GUGAAUCAUCGAAUUUUUGAACGCAAAUUGCACUCUCUUCGGAGAGUAUGCCUGUUUGAGGGUCAGCCUAAAAAAAAAAAUCGACAUAGUCGCUGUUUCGCGGUGACAUUCGUCGGAAAUUUGGUCUUCUUAAACUUUUGGGUUUUAAUUGGCUUAAUAUUUUUUUUACGAUUCCACGAACGUUUAUAAUAUUUAC
rnacentral:misc_RNA from 1 species